CCGCUGCCCUUGCAGAGCAAGGGGAACAACUACUUCAAGGUCUCAGAGAGGAAGGGGAAGGCACCUAGGGAGUGUUUAGGCAAGGGGCCUGCGGGUAUACAGAUACCCAUAGUAUAUUCACUGUCUAGGCACACUAGGUAAUACCUGUGUGGACCACCCCCUGUAUUUUGGUUAGCGCGCCAGGUGGCGUUAAGAGCAGGAAGUUGUGUUCCCUCCUCCAGGAGACGUACGUAACAAUUGGGGGCUCAUCCGAGAUUUGAACCCGGGACCUCUCGCACCCCCAAUCUCACCUUCCUCGCUGGCCUGCUGGGAUGCAAUCCUCUCAGUGAUGAUGCUGAGGCGGGAGGCAAACUCCGAGAAGAUGAAUUGUGUGCAGCCUGCCUGGUGGCACUUCUUGAAAAACUGUGAAGCCAGACUAGUAUUGGACCCAGAACCAGAUGAGCCAGGAGGCCCCGAAUCCCCAGGUGACCCUGAACCACAGCUGGAGUCUGGGGAUGGAACAGAAAGGGGAAGAGUCAACUCCUGUUAAGUGUACAUUGGAUAUGUAAAUAUGUAGGUAAAUCAAUCAUAGUCCAAAUGGUACCGCAAAUUAUUUUCACUUGCUUCACUGUUUAGUUUAGUGCAAACAUUCACUGUAGUUCCAACUCCCUCCACACACCUGUUUGGUCUGGGAGGAGAGAGUCCAGUUGUUCUACUUUGAUGAUGGACAGAUGGCUCUUGGAGGACUGCCCAGACAAAGGAAGAGGUUUGAGUAGAAGAAAUGAGGAGUAAAGGUGCUGUAGCUUAGCCUGGUCCCAGAUCGGUUUGUGCCAUCAUACCACUCUGUCAUGUCAAGCAUCAUUUCUGGAGUGACAAGAAGUUGAAUGAUAACAGAAACGGACUGGCACCCAGGCUAACUGCAGCUAACUACAAGAGUAAAAGAAAACUUACUCAUUUGAGCAACGCUUUCCCAACUCACCUCCCCAUUCUCAAAUGCUGGUCCCUCAAGUCCAUACUGAAACUCAAACUGCUCUGGAGCCCCACCUACAGCAUAAAAUAAUCAGUAUAUGAGAGACAACCACAAUAUUCUUCUUAUGAGAAUCUGAAAGUCCACACAUUUGACUAUACGGGACAUCUUGGAUUGAAACUUAAUACAACAACAGAAACCAACCUUCUGUCAAGGCUACCUCUGAAGUAUUGGGUUCUUGCCUGGGGGAUGUUAAGAACAUUAAGAACACAGAAAUAGUUUAAAAAAAGGUUAAACCAUUAGAACAAUGUACAGUCUGGCAAAGGCUUGGCCAUAAAAAAAAACUAAAAUCACACAUUUUAUAUGAACUAAAUAUAUAACUAGUCUGUCAGAUUUGAUUAUGGUCUCUGACAAUCUAAUACAGUAGGCCUACACAAACGUGUUACCAUUGUUUAAACUUCCAAUAACCAUGAUACACUGAAUUGGGGCACUGUCAAUGUGUUGACUCCUAGUUGAACCCCUCCUACCAAAACCAAUGAGUAAACUGACAUUAUUAAACUGCAGUGCUUUGUUGUACAUGUUUUGUGUGCUGCUAUUUUGGCCAGGUCUCUUGCAAAAUAGAUGUUUAAUCUCAAGGACACUAACCUGGUAAAAGUAAAUUAAAGUACCCACUUUGACAUCCCUCUUUUAGGGUGUGGCUCCUCAUCCUCAUGUGUGCUCUUCUUGGACAGCUUCUCUUCCUUUAUUGCAGCUUCUGUUUUGCUGUUCUUCAACGACUGAAAAAUCAUUCAUACCACAACCAUUAACAAAACACAUUAUGGUAUGUCAUGUUCCAAAUCAGAUUGACUAUUAACCAUGUGAAUUUAUGCAGCAGAAAGCACUAGUGGGCAUAACACACUGAACACAAAUACAAAAUGCAACAUGUAAAGUGAUGAGCUGAAUUUUUUACAUCUAUUUUUCCAAACGCACAAAAAGCU